rnacentral:rRNA from 1 species
CCACCUGAAUCCAUUCCGAACUCAGAAGUGAAACGAAAUAGCGUCGAUGGUAGUGUGGGGUUUCCCCAUGUGAGAGUAGAACAUCGCCAGGC